rnacentral:rRNA from 1 species
UACAGAGGUCCCAAGCGUUGUUCGGAUUCACUGGGCGUAAAGGGUGCGUAGGCGGUGAGGGAAGUCGGAUGUGAAAGCUCGGAGCUCAACUCCGAAAUGGCAUUGGAAACUACCUUGCUCGAGGGUUGGAGGGGGGACUGGAAUUCUUGGUGUAGCAGUGAAAUGCGUAGAUAUCAAGUGGAACACCAGUGGCGAAGGCGAGCCCCUGGACAACUCCUGACACUGAGGCACGAAAGCUAGGGGAGCAAACAGG